CUAUUAGCUCAGUUGGUCAGAGUAUGCUCCUGAUAAGAGUAUGGUCGUUGGUUCAAGUCCAACA
rnacentral:tRNA from 1 species